rnacentral:lncRNA from 1 species
CAGUGCAAAAUAAUCCGGAUCCGGAAUAGAUUUUUAUAACCCAGAUAUAUCCGGGUCCGGUUCCGGGUUUAGGCUAACCCGGAUAUCCGGAACCCGGACCGGGAUAUCAUAUUUUAAUAUUGUUUUUUAAUUAAUUUUAUUGAUUAAUAUAAAUACAAACAUAAACAAAAAAACCCUAAUUUUAUCUAGGUUGCUAUCGUCAGUCAGUCACAACUCACAACUCACAACUCACAACUCACAACUCACAGGCUUGGCCGCUUGGGUUCUUAGCUUCUUGCAGCCUUCGCGAUUCGCCGCCGUCAGAACUCAGAAGCUUGGGUUCGCCACCGUCGUCUGUCGCAACUUGUACUCUCAGGUUCACCAUUCACGAUCGUCGCAGCCUCGGCUUCUUGCAGUUCCAAACAACGAUCCAGGAUUUUACCGUCGCAAGCUCGGGUUCGCGGUUCGCCACCGUCGCAACUCGUACUCUCGGGUUCACGACCGUCGCAGCCUCCGGUUCUUGCAACUCCAAACAACGAUCCAGUUUGCUAUCCUUUCGUUUUGAUUUCAUUAUACUUUGUUAUUUGAUUUUAUCUAUGCUAGAAAUAUUUUUCUUACAGUAAAAAGAUUCGAAAUGGUUUAUGCUUUAAUGGACUUAUAUUUGUAGUGAUUUAAUUUUUUUAUUUGAAACAUUGAAAUUUAUGGAUUUAAAUUAGUGGGUGUGUUAUUCGCUUAUUGCUUAGAAAUUUGUGUUGUUUAUGAAUGAUUUACAAUCUGGAAUCUGGAUGUGUUAUUGGUUGGGAAUGUAUUAAUUUUUUAUUUUUUAAAAAGUGAUUCAUUGAUCCGGGUUCAAAACCCGAAAUCCGGAAAACCGGAUUUUUCCGGGUUAAACCCGGACUCGGGGUAAAAAUCCGGGUUAAAAUCAGGGUCCGGGAAAAAGAAAAUGACAAGCGGGUCCGGAUCUGGGGAGGCUAAACCUGGACCCGGUUUUUGCUAUCCCUAAUUCCAGUUGUAACCCGAGUACACUGAAUAUCAUGGAUUUACAUGUAGAAUCUGAAAGAGUCGUUUGGGUUUUACUUAGUCUGCUUUCUGUUUCAAUAAAUCCUAGCCUUUGGGGAUGUUGUUAUUUGACUUAUUCUUUGUCAAACACGUAGCUAAGAUAGUAGCUAACGUGUCCUAUUUAUAUGCUUUCUAUUAGUGUUGAAAAUGGCUAUUAAAAGCCAAGUUGAGUUUCAAUAAAAAGGUAGUCCACUUUAUUAAGUUCUCGUUACUGCAGUCAAUUAAUUCUAACAAAUUGGUAUCAGAGCGAGGCUAGUGGCUUGUAAACACAGGAGAGUUUGAGAGAUGUCAAGUGCAAGCGAAGGUUCUUUCGUCCAACCAGCCAUUCCACGUUUUGAUGGUCAUUACGACCAUUGGAGUAUGCUCAUGGAGAACUUCUUAAGGUCCAAGGAAUACUGGAGUUUGGUCGAGACAGGAUAUGAAGACUUGCAAGCAAGUGCAGCUAUGACAGAAGCACAACAGAAGAAACUCGAAGAGAUGAAGCUAAAGGAUAUGAAGGUCAAGAAUUACUUGUUUCAGGCAAUAGAUAGAACAAUUCUUGAAACUAUCCUACAGAAGGACACAUCGAAACAGAUCUGGGAUUCGAUGAAAAGGAAGUACGAAGGGAAUGCUAGAGUGAAGCGUUCAGUCCUUCAAGCUCUGAGGAGGGAAUUUGAGACUCUUGAAAUGAAGCCAGGUGAAAAUGUUACUGAAUAUUUUGGUAGAGUUAUGACAGUAAGUAACAAAAUGAGAUUUCAUGGGGAGGAAAUGCGUGAUGUUACCAUUGUUGAGAAAAUUCUUAGGUCCUUGAUAGACAAAUUUAACUAUAUUGUUUGCUCUAUCGAGGAAUCUAAGGACACUAAUACGCUUACCAUAGAUGAAUUACAGAGUUCAUUGAUUGUGCAUGAGCAGAAGUUUCAUAAGAAAAAUGGCGAGGAGCAAGCUCUAAAGGUGACCACAGAUGAGAGAGGUGGAGCAAGAGGACGUGGCAGAAAUAACUAUAGAGGAAGGGGAAGAGGCAGAGGACGUCAAGCCGUCGAUAAAGCCACAGUGGAAUGCUAUCAUUGUCAUCAACUCGGCCAUUACCGUUAUGAAUGUCCUACAUGGGACAAGGAGGCUAAUUAUGUCGAAUCGGAUGAGCAUGAGGAAAUGUUGUUGAUGGCUUACGUAGAAGAGCAUGAAGAAAAGCGUGAUGAUGUAUGGUUUCUAGACUCGGGCUGUUCAAAUCAUAUGUGUGGAAAUGCUCUCAUGUUCAAUGAAUUAGAUAAAAGUUUCAGGCAGCAAGUAAGACUCAGGAAUAACUCCAGGUUGACAGUGAAAGGAAGAGGAAAUGUCAGAUUACAGUUGAAUGGUGUUAAUCAUGUCAUCACAGAAGUCUUUUACGUGCCAGAGUUGAAAAAUAAUCUUCUCAGUAUUGGACAGUUGCAGGAGAAGGGGUUAGCUAUUCUAAUUCAUGGAGGAAUGUGUAAAAUCUACGAUCCAGAUAGAGGUUUAAUCAUUAAAGCUACUAUAUCAACAAAUAGAAUGUUCAUCUUGCAAGCCAAUACACAAGAGAAGAAAGAGGCAUGUUUUCACACAAGUGUACAAGAUCUCUCUCACUUAUGGCAUCGCAGAUAUGGCCAUUUAAACCAUAAAGGUCUCAAUACUUUGCAAACUAAGAAUAUGGUACGUGGGUUACCUUAUCUUUCUCCUACUAUUAUGGUGUGUACUGAUUGUUUGAACUGGAAGCAACACCGAGACCCCAUUCCUAAGAAGAGUACAUGGAGGGCAACACAAAAACUACAGCUCAUACAUGCAGACAUAUGCGGUCCAGUGACUCCUACAACUAAUGGCAAGAAAAGGUAUGCCUUAUGCUUUAUUGAUGAUUUUAGUAGAAAAGCAUGGGUGUACUUCUUAGUUGAAAAAUCAGAAGCUUUGAAUUCAUUUAAAUGCUUUAAGAGACUUGUUGAGAAUGAGACAGGCAUGUAUAUAAAGUGUUUACGUACUGAUAGAGGGGGUGAGUUCAACUCAGAAGAUUUCAAUGAGUUCUGUAGACAGUGUGGUAUCAAAAGGCAGCUUACAAAUGCAUAUACCCCUCAACAGAAUGGCGUGGCCGAGCGAAAGAACCGAACAAUGAUGAAUAUGGUUCGUUCAAUGCUCUCAGAAAAGAAAAUCCCUAAAACUUUCUGGCCUGAGGCAGUGAAUUGGACCAUAUACGUGUUAAACAGAAGUCCUACAGUGGCGGUCAAGAAUGUCACUCCUGAAGAAGCAUGGUCUGGUGUGAAACCUUCAGUGGAACAUUUUAGAGUCUUUGGGUGUGUGGCACAUGUUCACGUCCCAGACGCCAGGAGAACUAAGCUAGAUAACAAGAGUUUUGAAUGUGUGCUUUUGGGAUUUAGUGAGGAGACAAAAGGCUACAGGCUAUAUGAUCCCAUGGCUAAAAAGGUGGUGACUAGUAGAGACGUAGUAUUUGAGGAAGACAGACAAUGGGAGUGGGACAUUAGCUAUAAGGAACAAGUGUUGGUAGAUCUUGAGUGGGGUGAUGACAAGAAUAACACAGAUAAUGAGCAUGAGGCAGAAAGCGAUGAAAAUCUUGAAAUUACUAGUGAAGGCAAUGAAACCGUACGAGAUGAAAAUCAUGCAGCUGAGAAUGUUGUACCUAAUGCGGUGAAUACAGAAGGGUUUGAGGCUAGAGACAGAAGGGUCAGACAGGCUCUUAUUUGGAUGAAAGAUUAUGACGGCGGUGAGGGACUAUCCGAUGAAGAAAUUGAGUUGAAUAUAGCUGUUAUUGCUUCCACAGAUCUUAUCAACUAUGAAGAGGCAGUGAAGAGUUCAAAAUGGAGAUCGGCAAUGGAAUCGGAGAUUCACUCCAUUGAAAAAAAUCAGACAUGGGAACUUAUUGACUUGCCAAUUGGUGCCAAAACCAUUGGAGUAAAAUGGAUUUAUAAAACGAAAUUGAACGAACUUGGAGAGGUAGACAAGUACAAGGCUCGGUUGGUAGCAAAAGGGUAUUCUCAACAACAAGGGGUAGACUUCACUGAAGUGUUUGCUCCAGUAGCUCGUAUGGAUACAGUGAGGAUGAUAGUGGCACUUGCGGCGCAGAGAGGUUGGAAGAUUUACCAAUUGGAUGUAAAAUCAGCGUUUCUCCAUGGUGAACUCAGUGAAGACGUGUAUGUAGAGCAACCGGAAGGUUAUAAGAAAAAGGGGAGUGAGCAUAAAGUGUAUAAGCUGCAUAAAGCUUUGUACGGUCUAAAACAAGCUCCACGAGCUUGGUUUAGCCAUAUUGAAGCUCAUUUUGUUAAUGAUGGCUUCCAGAAGUGCCCGAAUGAGCAGACUUUAUUCACCAAGAGGAGAGGUGAAGGUAAAGUGUUGAUAGUAAGUAUUUAUGUGGAUGAUCUUAUUUACACUGGUGAUGAUGAGAAUAUGAUGUUUGAUUUUAAGAAUUCUAUGAUGAAAGUUUUUGAUAUGACUGAUUUGGGGAAGAUGAGAUUCUUUCUUGGCAUUGAGGUGUUACAGAGGUUGGAUGGCAUUUUUAUUUGUCAAAAGAGGUAUGCUAUGGAAGUGUUGAAACGUUUUGGGAUGUUUGAAAGCAAGUCAGUAAAUAGCCCAAUUGUGCCAGGUUUUAAAAUGAGUAGAGAUGAUCAUGGAGUCACAGUGGAUGAGACUUAUUUCAAACAAAUGGUGGGCAGUUUGAUGUACCUCACAGCGACUCGUCCAGAUAUGAUGUUCAGUAUCAGUUUGAUCAGCAGAUACAUGGCUAAACCCACUGAGCUUCACUUACAAGCUGCCAAAAGGAUUUUGAGAUACUUAAAAGGCACAACAAACUAUGGGAUUUUGUAUAAGAAGGGAGGGGAAGAAGAAGAAUUGCUUGCUUUCACGGAUAGUGACUAUGCAGGUGACAUAGACGAUCGUAAAAGCACGUCUGGUUAUGUGUUUCUUUUAAGCUCAGGUGCAGUAUCAUGGCUGUCAAAAAAGCAACCCAUAGUUACAAUGUCAACCACUGAAGCAGAAUUCGUGGCUGCUGCUGCUUGUGCCUGUCAGGCAAUAUGGAUGAGGAGAGUGUUAAAGCAGUUGGGACAUGAACAGAAGAGUUGCACCACUAUCAUGUGUGACAAUAGUUCAACAAUUAAGCUUUCAAGAAAUCCAGUUAUGCACGGAAGGAGCAAGCACAUUGAUGUACGGUUUCAUUUUUUGAGAGAUCUCACAAAAGAUGGUGUUGUUGAAUUAAUUCAUUGUGGAACUCAAGAGCAAGUGGCUGAUUUGAUGACGAAGCCAUUAAAGUUAGAAGCAUUUCAGAAACUCAGGAAGAUGAUGGGUGUGUGUGAAGUCACUGGUAUAAACUAAUGCAGUUUGCAGUUAGUUUAAGGGAGGGUAUGAAAGAGUCGUUUGGGUUUUACUUAGUCUGCUUUCUGUUUCAAUAAAUCCUAGCCUAUGGGGAUGUUGUUAUUUGACUUAUUCUUUGUCAAACACGUAGCUAAGAUAGUAGCUAACGUGUCCUAUUUAUAUGCUUUCUGUUAGUGUUGAAAAUGGCUAUUAAAAGCCAAGUUGAGUUUCAAUAAAAAGGUAGUCCACUUUAUUAAGUUCUCGUUACUGCAGUCAAUUAAUUCUAACAGAAUCUAGUUGAGAAAAAUUAUGGUCUAAAAUAAAGAAGAUUUUUAAGUAUAAUAAUUAAUGCAAGAAUUUUUUUUUUUGAAAUAUUGAUAUAUUACAAUCAGAAUUUGAUGGAUAUAAUUUAUUGAUAUAUUUUCUCUUAAUUCUUUAUUUCUUAGUCUAUUUGUUGAAGAAUGAAGCUCAAAUCUGAUUUUAUAAAUGAGAAUGACAAGUCACUUAUAUUCUCAGGAAGUUUGUGAUAUGUCAGUGAGAGCAUUAUGUCUAGUCGGUCGUAGUACUUCUGAGAGGUGUAUGACAUCUCCAUAAUGUCAGUUGA